GUGCUCACUUCAUCAGCACAUAUGCUAAAACUGAAACAAUACAAGGAAGAUUGUUAUGGCCCCUGUGCAAGGCUGAAAUGUAAAUUGGCAAGGUAUUCCAUAUUUAA